rnacentral:rRNA from 1 species
GACGAACGCUGGCGGCGUGCCUAAUACAUGCAAGUAGAACGCACAGUUUAUACCGUAGCUUGCUACACCAUAGACUGUGAGUUGCGAACGGGUGAGUAACGCGUAGGUAACCUGCCUGGUAGCGGGGGAUAACUAUUGGAAACGAUAGCUAAUACCGCAUAAUAUUAAUUAUUGCAUGAUAAUUAAUUGAAAGGUGCAAUUGCACCACUACCAGAUGGACCUGCAUUGUAUUAGCUAGUAGGAGAGGUAACGGCUCACCUAGGCGACGAUACAUAGCCGACCUGGGAGGGUGAACGGCCACACUGGGACUGAGACACGGCCCAGACUCCUACGGGAGGCAGCAGUAGGGAAUCUUCGGCAAUGGACGAAAGUCUGACCGGGCAACGCCGCGGGAGUGAAGAAGGUUUUCGGAUCGUAAAGCUCUGUUGUAAGGGAAGAACGGAUGUUGGAGUGGAAAGUUCACACUGUGACGGUAUCUUACCAGAAAGGGACGGCUAACUACGUG